CAACCUGCCGAUGACUCGGGGAUAGCCUUUCGAAAGAAAGAUUAAUACCCGAUGGCAUAGUUCUUCCGCAUGGUAGAACUAUUAAAGAAUUUCGGUCAUCGAUGGGGAUGCGUUCCAUUAGGUUGUUGGCGGGGUAACGGCCCACCAAGCCUUCGAUGGACAGGGGUUCUGAGAGGAAGGUCCCCCACAUUGGAACUGAGACACGGUCCAAACUCCUACGGGAGGCAGCAGUGAGGAAUAUUGGUCAAUGGACGAGAGUCUGAACCAGCCAAGUAGCGUGAAGGAUGACUGCCCUAUGGGUUGUAAACUUCUUUUAUACGGGAAUAAAGUGAGGCACGUGUGCCUUUUUGUAUGUACCGUAUGAAUAAGGAUCGGCUAACUCCGUGCCAGCAGCCGCGGUAAUACGGAGGAUCCGAGCGUUAUCCGGAUUUAUCGGGUUUAAAGGGAGCGUAGGCGGACGCUUAAGUCAGUUGUGAAAGUUUGCGGCUCAACCGUAAAAUUGCAGUUGAUACUGGGUGUCUUGAGUACAGUAGAGGCAGGCGGAAUUCGUGGUGUAGCGGUGAAAUGCUUAGAUAUCACGAAGAACUCCGAUUG
rnacentral:rRNA from 1 species